AAAGGUGGGAGGUCUAGGGGGUGAUUGUGAGGUCACUGUUAGGCUGGCCUGGGGGGUCAGGGUGGGGUGCAGCACUGGCUUCCACACACGGCCAUUGCCACUCCGCAGGCACUGUCCCUUAUCUGGACUCUGCCACAGCCUCUCCUCCUCCACUGCCAUGAAGAUCUUAAACAAAGCUUGAUGCAGGUAAACAUGAGGACCUUCAAAGCCAUUUUGGAUGUUGGAAGUGGGAAGAGCCACAAGGAGGAAGGACUAUGGGUACCAGAAUCACUCUUGGAGAUGAGCUUCAUGACAAUUAGGAGUCCCUGCUUGGGAGUACUACAUAAGUGAGAAAUAAAUAUCUGUUGUGUUAAA